AGAUGUGAGGGAGAGCUGGCUGCGACAUCUGUCACCUCACUGAUCACCAGGGUUGAUUCUGCUGAUCUGGUUGGCUAGGCGGGUGUCCCCUUCCUCCCUCAAAUCUCCAUGUGUGUCCCUCCAGAAGCUGUGCGCACAGUCAAAGAGGAAGACCACCCCCCGAUAGAGGAGGACCGUUCCUCUGUGAAGGAUGUGCAGUAGUUGUACUCCCCUGCUAGAACCUCCACACAAGCUCUUAAAUACUACCAUAUCUAGCUUUUUAAAAUACCUGUUUAGAGUUUCU
rnacentral:sRNA from 1 species